UACGUAGACCUCAAGCGUUAUCCGAAUUUAUUGGGCGUAAAGAGCAUGUAGGAGGUUUUGCGCGUUUCACGUUAAAAGAUCACCGCCUAACGGUGGAAGUGCGUGGGAUACGGCAAGACUAGAGGAGGUUAGAGGUGCAUAGAACGCACGGUGUAGGGGUGAAAUCCGUUGAUAUCGUGCGGAAUACCAAAGGCGAAGGCAGUGCACUGGGACUUUCCUGACUCUGAGAUGCGAAAAGCGUGGGGAGCAAAAAGG
rnacentral:rRNA from 1 species